UGGGGAAUAUUGCACAAUGGAGGGAACUCUGAUGCAGCGACGCCGCGUGAACGAAGAAGGCUUUCGAGUCGUAAAGUUCUUUUAUAUGGGAAGAUAAUGACGGUACCAUAAGAAGAAGCCCCGGCUAACUACGUGCCAGCAGCCGCGGUAAUACGUAGGGGGCUAGCGUUGUCCGGAAUCACUGGGAGUAAAGGGUUCGCAGGCGGAAAUGCAAGUCAGGUGUAAAAGGCAGUAGCUUAACUACUGUAAGCAUUUGAAACUGCAUAUCUUGAGAAGAGUAGAGGUAAGUGGAAUUUUUAGUGUAGCGGUGAAAUGCGUAGAUAUUAAAAAGAAUACCGGUGGCGAAGGCGACUUACUGGGCUCAUUCUGACGCUGAGGAACGAAAGCGUGGGUAGCAAACAGG
rnacentral:rRNA from 1 species